UACGAGGGGGGCGAGCGUUGUCCGGAGUUAUUGGGCGUAAAGCGUGCGCAGGCGGUUUUGUAAGUCUGUCGUGAAAGCCCCCGGCUCAACUGGGGAGGGUCACUCGAUACUGAUCGACUCGAAGGCAGGAGAGGGAAGUGGAAUUCCCGGUGUAGCAGUGAAAUGCGUAGAUAUGUGGAGGAACACCGAUGGCGAAGGCAGCCCCCUGGGUUAACACUGACGCUCAGGCACGAAAGCGUGGGGAGCAAACAGG
rnacentral:rRNA from 1 species